rnacentral:tRNA from 1 species
CAGGCUAUAGCUUUAAAAGUAUUUUAUUUACACUAAAAAGGUUGUCAUUUAUUUGAUAUAGCUUGA